CUUGCCAGAAUUCUUUUAAGUUGAAGCUUUUGCCAAAUUAAGCAAUGCUAUUGGGAAGGUCAUUGAAGCACAAGUUGAUAUGCCUGUUGUUGGAGUAAUAACUUUAUAUGUGUCGCUCCUUACGUUUACUCUUCGUGUUCAUCCUGACCGUCUUGAUCAUGUCGAUCAAAUACUGGGUGCAUGUGUUAAGAAACUUUCAGGCAAAGGAAAGCUUGAGGAUACCAGAGC